rnacentral:lncRNA from 1 species
AGAGAUGGUUGCCUGGCUGAAAGCUAACAAAUAUCCAGUCUCUGAAGUGGAGGCCAAGAUGAAGGAAACCUCCAUACACAGAAGCAAAUGGAUUAGAUGUAACGGCUCCAAAACCAUCAGUGAAAUCCUGAGGGAGUUUCCCAGGCUGACAGACAAUCCUGGCAUGAUAUCGCAAGACUUUCAGCAACUUCAUCCUGAGGCAGCAGGACAAAUGUUUGAGAAGUGGCCUGCAAUUGCAGACAAAAUCUUAAAAUAUGCCCAACGAGAGGGAAAAAUAAAUGUUGUGCCAGAUGAUGUCACACCUGGUGAGAGAGCUUUAAAGGCCUUACCAAACCUGCUUCCCCCAUCACUCUUCAAAAGAGGUGGAAAAAUUGUGAGACCCACGACAGCGGAGUCUCAAAGGGCAUUUGUUAACAUGCAGCCUGUUGGAACCAAUAUAGUGGAGUACCUGACAAAUGUGGAUAACACCUUUCCACACGUUCUGUCGCUGGGACAUGAGAGAGUGUCUCAAACAUUUCUGGUUGUGGAAGGCCAUGCCAUUGAGACUGACUCGCUGCUUGAAGCUGUGGACCUGUGCUUUAAGUCUUUUUAUGUUUUUGACACGAAUUACCCAAAGGAGUGCCAACCCACAUGGGAGUUUUUGCAGCACUGCAUUUAUGAAAUAAAUGGAC